UACGGAGGGAGCUAGCGUUGUUCGGAAUUACUGGGCGUAAAGCGCACGUAGGCGGCUUUGUAAGUUAGAGGUGAAAGCCCGGGGCUCAACCCCGGAAUUGCCUUUAGGACUGCAUCGCUUGAAUCCGGGAGAGGUGAGUGGAAUUCCGAGUGUAGAGGUGAAAUUCGUAGAUAUCAGGAGGAACACCGGUGGCGAAGGCGGAUCUCUGGGCCAUUACUGACGCUGAGGAGCGAAAGCGUGGGGAGCGAACAGG
rnacentral:rRNA from 1 species